UGGAUCAUCAGCAGACGUGCUUGAGAGGAUGUUGAAGAUCUUUCUAAAAUUUAGUGGGCUCACGAUACUCGUAGCUCACCUUCUCACUUUCCGAACUCCAGGCUGAAAUCCUGAAGAACUCACUGAAACCCUGCGUACACUUUUUCUUUCUUUUCUUUCUUUUUCUCUCAGAAGGAUAUAGACCUUCAACUUGCACACAAGGAUUCCUCACACCC
rnacentral:lncRNA from 1 species